AGAGGAACUGAGUGUCCUUUGUUUGCAGGGGCUUUGUUUCUUUCUCCUUUGCAGAAAGGCCACUGGGCUGAUAGUGUCCUCUUAGCAACAUCACCAUGUCAUCCAGAAUGGCUUUCUUCAAUUCCUGAAUUGAACCAUGUCCAGUAGUUGAGUUCCUCUGCAUCGACCAGCUUGAUGUGGUUGCAGGGCAGAGGUGCCCCUACAUGCCCUAGGACACCAGAACAAGAGUGAAAGGCUUGGGCCUCUGGCAUCUUCCUCUGUACCCGGCUGCCCAGCACACGUCCCACCACCCCCAAGGAAGGCCCGGGAUGAUGAUACCUGGCACCCCAGAGCUGCUCGUAGGAAUCCCAGAACCGUUGGUGACGCGGGGGCUGCUCCAGUGACAAUCAUCCUCACAUGCCCACCAAGACUGGCCUGUGGGAAGAAAGAAGCUGCCAAUGAUGGUGACACACGAGAUGGUCUUCAUUUAUGGUCUGCUUUCAACAGCUGGACCCUGGGUGCUAGAAGAGAGCCACGUGCUGAGGAAGUCGCUUCUCUUUUGUAAUAAAUGUGGCUAGUUGUCAACAUAA
rnacentral:lncRNA from 1 species